ACACUUCACACAGGGGAGGUCUGAUUGUUCGGUAGUUUCAUUCCCUUAGUUUAUUCGAAUGACUCUACCGAACAAUCAGACGGAUACACUUUAUUUAAACACAUACAAAACCAGCAGUUUACCUGAAUGCAGUUAUAUACAUGUAAUUUUCAGGACAGCCCAGUGCCAUCCGCUACAGGAUGUAGUGUGUGUAUAGAAGCUGUUUUGUGCAAACGGGCUGCAGAGUAUGUGUGUAGGGAUGUAGUGUGUGUAUAAUGGCUGCAGUGUAUGUGUGUAGGGAUGUAGUGUGUGUAUAAUGGCUGCAGUGUAGCCGUUAUUUUUAUUCUUAGGGGCUGUAGUGUAUAGGGGGCUGCAGAGUAUGUAUAGGGAAUGUAGUGUGUGUCUAUUUGUAGGGGGAUGUAGAGAGUGUGUGUGCCUAGAGACUGUAAUGUGAUUGUUGUAUAGGGAUUGUAGUGUGUAAUGGAAUAUGUAUUUGUGGGGUGGUUUAGGUGCUGAAAUCCCAUGAAUUUUUGCCAUUUCUUCCAUUCACAGAAUUCUGGGAGUUGAAGUUCAUCAAUAUCUGGGGUCCAAGGAUUGAGAUC